GCGGGCCCAUGACGGUACCNUAAGAAUAACCACCGGCUAACUACGUGCCCNCNGCCGCGGUAAUACGUAGGGUGCGAGCGUUAAUCGGAAUUACUGGGCGUAAAGCGUGCGCAGGCGGUGAUGUAAGACAGUUGUGAAAUCCCCGGGCUCGACCUGGGAAUUGCAUCUGUGACUGCAUCGCUAGAGUACGGUNGAGGGGGAUGGAAUUCCGCGUGUAGCAAGGAAAUGCGUAGAUAUGCGGAGGA
rnacentral:rRNA from 1 species